rnacentral:sRNA from 1 species
UACCAAUCUUCUUUCAUUUAAACGUCAUUAUUUAAAAAAAAAUAAGAGAAAAUUGUGAGGCAUUUAAUGAAUGUGAUUAAACAUCAAAAUGUUAUCGCACACACGUACAUAUAACUUUAGACUUAUUCUGGUUGAAAUAAAGCAACAUUACCGUAAGGUCACUUAACUGUACAUUUGAAGUUUGACAAUUGUUUUCAAAUCAGGUUAUUUUGUAUUAAACAGCUUGUCCAUAUGGGUAUUUUGGACGUGAUUGCACCAAAACAUGUAACAUAACAUGCAAAGGUUGCAAUAUUUUUGAUGGUAUAUGUAAUUUCGGUUGUAUUCCUGGCUGGAAAGGAGAAUAUUGCCAUACAGGUAAAGACUUAAAUUUUGACGUGUUUCACAAUUAAAUAUAUAUGUGUUGAGAAGAAAAGAUCAGUAUGAUGCAUUUUGGGUUUGCAAUAUUGCUAUAUUAAAAGCAGUCUUAAAACGACUGAGCAAUCGUUCUCUGUAAAAAAAAAACCCACCUUUUGUGAACACAUUUGUUAAUUUUUUUAUUGGAAAUAUUUAGAUCUAUUUAAAACAAUAAUGCAAUAUCCACAUCAAGAAAGGAAAACAUACACAUUUGUUUGAUGUAGGUUGGUUUUGGCUUUGUUGUACUGUAGAUAAAACAUUUUUAAAACACCCCAUGGUUUACGAAUGUGUUUCCCUAAUAACUGCUUUAAAAAUAAUUCUUAAAGGGUAUAUUUUUGUUAAAACACUCGUAGGUAAACAUUCUGCAUUAUACAAAACACAGAGCACACGUAGUUGUAUGAAAUUAUAUCUAAAAUAUCAUUUAAAAACGGAAAUCCUUUUCAAACACAAUCUAUUCUUGGUAAUCAUAAAUUAUACUUCUGCAUUCAGAGAUCGGAUAAUCGUAAUCGGUAAUCACAAUAAACUGUAAUUUAUCACAGGUUGCUGAGUUAUCAUAUGCAAUCAGUAAACAUCUAUUGUUCUGAUUACAAGUACUCGUAAUUUUAUCGAUUACUAUGAAAAAAAAGCCUGUAAUUAUGAUCAAUAUUGAGAAUCCUUUUAUGAUUUCAACAGUUGAAUUAAAAUGCUUUAAUUCAUAAUUCAGUAAGGACAUUGUAGGGAACAGGGUUCAACCUUAGAUAUGGUUUUAGAAAGGAAUGUGUAUGAAAUAUGUGUUUUUGCACAAGAUAAUACAAGUGUGAUAUAAGUCAGCUGUGAUACCGUAAAAAAUUGAUAUUAGAAUUAUUACUCCUGUCGAACGUUCAUUGUUCCUUUCCUAAGCAUUAAAGACUGAAACUGAGAAAAAGGGAGGGGUAAGAAUACUGGUAAUGUAAUAUACAAGUAAUCACAAGUAAUCAUGGUUACAACGAGGAAAAUUAAUCUACUCUAAUUGAUUUCAUCUUUAAUUAGAUCUAAUCUGCUUGUUAUCAAUUACUUUUAGAAUUCAAAGUAAUUUAAUUUAAUCGUUAAGCAGAUGUUUCUUUUGCCAAUUACGUUUGAGAAUUUAUGAUCUAGUUACUUUUAUAAACAUUUCUUAAUAGCAUGUGACAUUGGAUCAUAUGGAGAUGAAUGCAAAGAAAUAUGUGGAAACUGUAAUGACGUCAUAAAGUGUUCACAUAUUAAUGGGACAUGCUUAGCUGGAUGUGAAGUUGGCUAUCAUGGCUACUUGUGUAAAGAACGUUGUGGUUCAGGAUGGCAUGGGUUUGGAUGUAGUGAAAAAUGUGGACAUUGUCUUGAUUCAUAUCAUUGUCACCAUAAAACGGGAUCGUGCUUGACUGGGUGUGCUGUUGGUUACGAGGGACGCAUGUGUAACACAAAAUCCCCAAGUUGAGAACGGAAAACCAACUGGAAGUUUAACUUUUAUUGCCUGCUUGUUAUUUUGUGCAUUUCGCUCAUCAUAACUGGUUUACUUAUUGUUUACAACGUGGUAACAAGGAGGAGAUGGUCAACGAUUUUCAGACCCAACGAAGAACUAGAAUCAAGAGAAGACGUAAUUUCUAACGUGUCUUACAAUGACGUUGCAUUCAAUGAAAAUGAAGACUGUCAUUUUGAAGUUUAUCAUACAUUUACGUUUUGAACACAGCAUCUUUUGGCGACAUUUGACAUAAAUUGUGAAAAGAGAAGUGUUUGAAACAAGGAUUAGGAGACACAUUUGCCAAAAAUGUGUCGUUAUGCAAGUAUGGCUGUCAUCCAAAAAUUUUGACGCCCAGUAUUUUUUUUUUCGAAUUAACCUGCAACCUUUUUAUCAGAAAGUGUUUCAGUUUUGUAAUUAACAGUGUUAAAGCUUAUGAAUAUAUAUAAGUUGUAUAACCAAUAUUAUAGAUUAAACAAUAUUUUAUAAAAUAAGUCAUUUAUAAAUAGGCUGUACAUGUAAAUUUCUGUUUAAAAAUAAUAAAGAGUUGUUUU